rnacentral:rRNA from 1 species
UCCUACGGGAGGCAGCAGUGGGGAAUCUUGCGCAAUGGGCGAAACCCUGACGCAGCGACGCCGCGUGGAUGAUGAAGGCCUUCGGGUCGUAAAAUCCUGUCAGAUGGAAAGAAAUGUAGUAUGCCUAAUACGUGUACUAUUUGACGGUACCAUCAAAGGAAGCACCGGCUAACUCCGUGCCAGCAGCCGCGGUAAUAC